rnacentral:rRNA from 1 species
AUUGAACGCUGGCGGCAGGCUUAACACAUGCAAGUCGAGCGGGGUGAUGGUGCUUGCACUAUCACUUAGCGGCGGACGGGUGAGUAAUGCUUAGGAAUCUGCCUAUUAGUGAGGGACAACAUCUCGAAAGGGAUGCUAAUACCGCAUACGUCCUACGGGAGAAAGCAGGGGAUCACUUGUGACCUUGCGCUAAUAGAUGAGCCUAAGUCGGAUUAGCUAGUUGGUGGGGUAAAGGCCUACCCAGGCGACGAUCUGUAGCGGGUCUGAGAGGAUGAUCCGCCACACUGGGACUGAGACACGGCCCAGACUCCUACGGGAGGCAGCAGUGGGGAAUAUUGGACAAUGGGGGGAACCCUGAUCCAGCCAUGCCGCGUGUGUGAAGAAGGCCUUAUGGUUGUAAAGCACUUUAAGCGAGGAGGAGGCUCCUUUGGUUAAUACCCAAGAUGAGUGGACGUUACUCGCAGAAUAAGCACCGGCUAACUCUGUGCCAGCCGCCGCAGUAA